GUGGCUCAUUCACCUUCUUAUGUCAGCCCCUUCGGGACGUGCUACAUAAACUUCGAAUGACGCACAACAAGGUGCCUGCCGUCCAGCUUCUGAUAUCUUUGCAUAUCAACCAUCGGGCGAAACGUUGAGUUAGGCACCGCCUUAUUCCAGAACAAAGCCGGGUUUCGACCCGGCUUUGUUAUU
rnacentral:sRNA from 1 species